rnacentral:rRNA from 1 species
UGGGGAAUAUUGGACAAUGGGCGAAAGCCUGAUCCAGCCAUGCCGCGUGUGUGAAGAAGGCCUUUUGGUUGUAAAGCACUUUAAGCGAGGAGGAGGCUACUUAGAUUAAUACUCUAGGAUAGUGGACGUUACUCGCAGAAUAAGCACCGGCUAACUCUGUGCCAGCAGCCGCGGUAAUACAGAGGGUGCGAGCGUUAAUCGGAUUUACUGGGCGUAAAGCGUGCGUAGGCGGCUUUUUAAGUCGGAUGUGAAAUCCCUGAGCUUAACUUAGGAAUUGCAUUCGAUACUGGGAAGCUAGAGUAUGGGAGAGGAUGGUAGAAUUCCAGGUGGAGCGGUGAAAUGCGUAGAGAUCUGGAGGAAUACCGAUGGCGAAGGCAGCCAUCUGGCCUAAUACUGACGCUGAGGUACGAAAGCAUGGGGAGCAAACAGG